UACGAGGGGGGCAAGCGUUGUUCGGAAUUAUUGGGCGUAAAGGGAGCGUAGGCGGUUUUGUAAGUCGUGUGUGAAAUCUUCGGGCUCAACCCGAAGCCUGCACACGAAACUGCAGGGCUUGAGUAUGGGAGAGGUGAGUGGAAUUCCUGGUGUAGCGGUGAAAUGCGUAGAUAUCUGGAGGAACACCGGUGGCGAAGGCGGCAUCCUGGACCGGCAUUGACGCUGAUGAGCGAAAGCCAGGGGAGCAAACGGG
rnacentral:rRNA from 1 species